rnacentral:rRNA from 1 species
CUAACACAUGCAAGUCGAACGAGAUCUUCGGGUCUAGUGGCGCACGGGUGCGUAACGCGUGGGAACCUGCCCUCAGGUUCGGAAUAACCAUUGGAAACGAUGGCUAAUACCGGAUGAUGACCGUUAAGUCCAAAGAUUUAUCGCCUGAGGAUGAGCCCGCGUAGGAUUAGCUAGUUGGUGUGGUAAAGGCGCACCAAGGCGACGAUCCUUAGCUGGUCUGAGAGGAUGAUCAGCCAUACUGGGACUGAGACACGGCCCAGACUCCUACGGGAGGCAGCAGUGGGGAAUAUUGGACAAUGGGCGCAAGCCUGAUCCAGCAAUGCCGCGUGAGUGAUGAAGGCCUUAGGGUUGUAAAGCUCUUUUACCCGGGAUGAUAAUGACAGUACCGGGAGAAUAAGCUCCGGCUAACUCCGUGCCAGCAGCCGCGGUAAUACGGAGGGAGCUAGCGUUGUUCGGAAUUACUGGGCGUAAAGCGCACGUAGGCGGCUUUGUAAGUUAGAGGUGAAAGCCUGGAGCUCAACUCCAGAAUUGCCUUUAAGACUGCAUCGCUUGAAUCCAGGAGAGGUGAGUGGAAUUCCGAGUGUAGAGGUGAAAUUCGUAGAUAUUCGGAAGAACACCAAUGGCGAAGGCGGCUCACUGGACUGGUAUUGACGCUGA